UAUGCUAUGUGGAAAUUGUGAACUAUAAUAUUUUUUUGUAUGUGUACGCCCUGUUCAAAUGGUUUGAGGAAUAAUUGAUUAAUUUUUGUGUUGUAUUUUCAGCUUGGCAAAGGAGUCUUUCAAAUUCCUGAGCAAGAGUACUUAGCUACUUUUGCUGUUGAAGAUGCAUAUAUAUUGAGUGAAGCCAAUGAGGAAACUGUGCGCACAAUUGUGGAAUUUGUGAAGGCCCCUGACUUGUUUCAGAUUGAUGUGAUUAGUGCGGGCUCAUACCACAAAGGCAAUCUUAGGCCCAUCAAGCAAAGUCAAGCUUCCAAGUGACAAGUUCUAUAUAGAUCAAUUUGUUUAUUUCCCUAUGCUUAUAUGUUUUUAAUAUCGUUUGCCCAGAUAGUUGACAUGAACAUUUUUUUAGUACUUAAAUUUAUAUAUACAAUAAUUUUAUUUUAGUGGAUGUGAGAUUUCA